rnacentral:pre_miRNA from 1 species
UAACUAUUCCCUCCGUCCCAAAAUUCUUGUCUUAGAUUUGUUUAGAUAUGAAUGUAUCUAGUCAAGUUUUAGUAUUUAGAUACAUCCAUUUCUAGAUAAAGCUAAGACAAGAAUUUUGAGACGGAGGGAGUACUUU